AUUGAACGCUGGCGGCAUGCCUUACACAUGCAAGUCGAACGGCAGCACGGGAUCAAUCCUGGUGGCGAGUGGCGAACGGGUGAGUAAUAUAUCGGAACGUGCCCAGUCGUGGGGGAUAACGCAGCGAAAGCUGUGCUAAUACCGCAUACGAUCUAAGGAUGAAAGCGGGGGAUCGCAAGACCUCGCGCGAUUGGAGCGGCCGAUAUCAGAUUAGCUAGUUGGUGGGGUAAAGGCCCACCAAGGCGACGAUCUGUAGCUGGUCUGAGAGGACGACCAGCCACACUGGAACUGAGGCACGGUCCAGACUCCUACGGGAGGCAGCAGUGGGGAAUUUUGGACAAUGGGGGCAACCCUGAUCCAGCCAUGCCGCGUGCGGGAAGAAGGCCUUCGGGUUGUAAACCGCUUUUGUCAGGGAAGAAACGCUCUGGGCUAAUACCCCGGGGUAAUGACGGUACCUGAAGAAUAAGCACCGGCUAACUACGUGCCAGCCGCCGCGGUAA
rnacentral:rRNA from 1 species